rnacentral:rRNA from 1 species
AGCGAACGCUGGCGGCAGGCCUAACACAUGCAAGUCGAACGGACCCUUCGGGGUUAGUGGCGGACGGGUGAGUAACACGUGGGAACGUGCCUUUAGGUUCGGAAUAGCUCCUGGAAACGGGUGGUAAUGCCGAAUGUGCCCUUCGGGGGAAAGAUUUAUCGCCUUUAGAGCGGCCCGCGUCUGAUUAGCUAGUUGGUGAGGUAACGGCUCACCAAGGCGACGAUCAGUAGCUGGUCUGAGAGGAUGACCAGCCACACUGGGACUGAGACACGGCCCAGACUCCUACGGGAGGCGGGCGGGGGGAAUCUUGCGAAAGGGGAAAACGCCUGACGCACCCAUGCCGCGUGAAUAAUGAAGUUCUAAGGAUUGAAAAAUUUUUUCCCCGGGGACGAUAAUGAGGGUACCCGAAAAAGAGGCCCGGGCAAACUUGGGG